GCCAAAUCGGUCACACAGCAAGGAACUAAUCCAUUCAUGACUUGGGGAGGAAAGACAGGGAGCUUGUAAUACUCUCCGAAGACCACAGAAAUCUUCACUUUGGAAUAAUACUUGGUCUGAGGCAAGAUAAGAAAGAAGGGGAAAAAGCCUCUUGUUAAACUUGAUGGGACCAGGACAUUGUGUGAGACCAAACUAGGUCCACUCAGGCAGCUGUUGUCUUUAGCAGGAGGCAACACAAGCAGGUGCCACUCUUAAAGCUUCCAGAAUCUACCCCUUUGAAGACCUGGGAACCCUGUGAAGAAGAUGCAAAAGGAUGUAGCGGGCAGGUAACAGUGGGAAUAGAAGUAAUCACAGCUGUGAAGUAGGAAGACCUGGGCUCUCAAGUUACCCCCUCUGAUGUGAACUCUCCAACUGGCCUUAAGCAAGUCAUUGUCUACUGCCUGGUAGCUCUGAGAGCUAAUUCAGCCUUGUUGUUCCGAUUCCAAAUUCCCCUGAAUGCCAGAUGCUGGAGAUGUACAAAGGGGGACUGCUGCUGUCAGCUUCCCAGGAACAUCUGGCCCACCAUUGGAUACAAUGGGCCUGUGGUCUGAUGCAGCUGGCCUCCUCUUCUCUCUCUCUGACUCAUUCUCUCCUCAACCUCCAAGAUGAGAUUAAUAUCUGCGGCUUACAAGUAGAGCAUGUGCUUUGUAUGCAGAAUGACUGAGAUUCAAUCCUUAUACUAGCAGGCUAAAGGGAUUUCAGGUAAACAGGACUGACGAUAUUGAUCUACUGAACAGAGUGGGGAUUUUUUUUUAAAAAAAACCAAUAACCCUUACAAUGCAAAGGAAAUAUUUUGCAUCACAAUAGAAUCCGGCUGCUUUACAGUCUGAGACUUCAGUCCGGAUUGUGCAAGCAUUCAGAGUCUCUCGUCUUCCAACAACCUCCCUCUGGAACCGGCAGCUGAUUGGUUUCAGCAAGUUGUAUCCGUCAUCCUGCUGGAAAGGAUGCUUGCAGGAUUUUCAUCUGGGCAAUUAAGUCAAAUGCUGAGCAAGUUUAAUGACCGCUGAAGUGUCAAGACGUCCUUUCUCUAAGAUGCCACAUGUCUUCUCGAAGGGGACUAUUGACACAGCCAUCUCUGUAUUUCUUGAACAAUCAAUAGGAUUUCAAGUUACAACAGGAGGAUUUUUUAAAAGAAACUUUCCAUCACUGUAGGAAGGCACAUUAGAGAUGCAGAAUGGGAAAUCAACACAAGGGGACUCUAGAGAAUGCUCAGGGAGAGAUGUGAAAGAAUGACCCCCCUUCCUCUCUGGGACUGUAAUCAAUUAAUACUAAUAUAACCACAGGAUCUACAGAAACUGAAGUUUGGCAAACUCUUACCAGCCAUCUGCUGGGCCUAUGUCCAUAGCUGGAGGGUUCCAUGGAAGGCAAGGACUUGUUCAGAGUUUAUGUGACUGCCAUAUUCUAAAAUUGGUUAUUCUGGAUCAAAAGUGCACCCUGCAAAUCUCUCCCACAGCCAACAUUUUGUUCUUACUAAAUCAAGAGGGCCACAUCCCCAUGUUAAGAAUGGGAAAACAAUUUUUGUUACAGCUCUACCUUAUUAACCCCUUUCUCCCCAUGAACAACUCACCCCAUUUUCUUGCUGUACCUGUGUAGUCCCAUUUCUUACUGUUACGCCCUUUACUUUCUUUGAGUAGAUAUUUCUUUUAAUCUUUCCCUUAACACCCCCUGGGCAGCCCGCUGCCACCAGGAAUAUCACAUUCCAAUAUAUUUUAAGUUUUCCCCUUGGUAACGUUCCAAAGCAUCAGGCUCCUUCGUGGUUCUAUGUGGCCCUGAGGAUAGGAAUGGGAUAUGGCAAGGACAGCU